CUACGUGCCAGCAGCCGCGGUAAUACGUAGGUCCCGAGCGUUGUCCGGAUUUAUUGGGCGUAAAGCGAGCGCAGGCGGUUAGAUAAGUCUGAAGUUAAAGGCUGUGGCUUAACCAUAGUACGCUUUGGAAACUGUUUAACUUGAGUGCAAGAGGGGAGAGUGGAAUUCCAUGUGUAGCGGUGAAAUGCGUAGAUAUAUGGAGGAACACCGGUGGCGAAAGCGGCUCUCUGGCUUGUAACUGACGCUGAGGCUCGAAAGCGUGGGGAGCAAACAGGAUUAGAUACCCUGGUAGUCCACGCCGUAAACGAUGAGUGCUAGGUGUUAGACCCUUUCCGGGGUUUAGUGCCGUAGCUAACGCAUUAAGCACUCCGCCUGGGGAGUACGGCCGCAAGGUUAAAACUCAAAUGAAUUGACGGGGGCCCGCACAAGCGGUGGAGCAUGUGGUUUAAUUCGAUGCAACGCGAAGAACCUUACCUACUCUUGACAUCCAGAGAACAUUC
rnacentral:rRNA from 1 species